GACAGAGGGUGCAAACGUUGUUCGGAAUUACUGGGCGUAAAGCGAGUGUAGGCGGUGACAUAAGUCAGGUGUGAAAUCCCACGGCUCAACCAUGGAAGUGCACUUGAUACUGUGUCGCUUGAGUACUGGAGAGGUUGGUGGAAUUCUUGGUGUAGAGGUGAAAUUCGUAGAUAUCAAGAGGAACACCGGUGGCGAAGGCGGCCAACUGGACAGAUACUGACGCUGAGACUCGAAAGUGCGGGGAGCAAACAGG
rnacentral:rRNA from 1 species